rnacentral:sRNA from 1 species
AUGUUUUAUAAAAUUUAUAAAUCUCUCUCUCCCUCCUUAUUCUCUUCCUCCCUUCAACUCUCCUUCCUCUCUUCCUCUCUUCCUCUCUCCAACCUGCCAAGUCCAUGGUUGUAACAUGGAUAGGUUUGUGAUGAAUUUAUUUGACAAUCCCCAUUUUUUCCCUCUCCAAAUCUUACUCCUCUUGUCUCUCUACUCCUCGUCUGAUAGACUCUCUCUGUGGACUCUCACCUAUAACAACAACAACUUCUUCACUCCUUUCUAAUAUUCCUUUCUUUCUCCAUAAACUUUCGAUCUCUGCUUUUCAAAUACAAGCCAAAUAGUUUUUUACUCUAGAUUCAUAUGGAGGUCGCACCAGACAUCCAUCUUUGUUCCUCCGGAUUUCUUUAACAACAGGUGCUCGUGGCCGGAUGUUACAAUCGGCGAGGCGUCGGUUGGUUGGUGGCGAGGGUUUGUGCUAGUAGGGAUGCUCGGCGGCGGGUGCUGCGGUAGAAGCCUAGGUUUUCUUUUGUUGUAUUUUAUGGCUUGGGCCUUUACUGUUUGUUGGAACUAUUGGGCUAGUAUGGCAGGGUCCUCUUUUGGGCUAGUUUACUAAUAUCCAGAUCUAAAAUAAUAAUAAUAAUAAUAAUAAU